rnacentral:lncRNA from 1 species
UCUGGUUGAGAGCUUCUGGAUUAGUAGGAGGAGUCCACAAGUCUAUUAUUUACUAUGCACACAAACAUUUACCUAAUUUUUCUUUCAAUAAGAAACCUUAUCCGUUGCGCUGGUGCCUGAUUUUCUGACUGCAAAGUCUCUUCAAAGUCUCCUUUGCAAUUUCUCUGAAGUCUAAACCUCCCUUUGUCUUUUCAUGGAUGAGAGAAUAACAGUGGCUAUAUGAAACGGAGCGGCGAUCUCAAAUACUCGCCAUACUCUGUUUUUCAGCUCCACUUGUUCCAGCAAGCACUUCUGAGGAGUUCAAUCUGGUGUGUCAUGACUAGAACUGGACCAGCAGUUAGACAGAAAAAAGAAGAGAGAAGUAGCUUUUGCACUAUUGUCUGGCAUCAUCUACCUGGAACCAACAGGGUCCACAUUCAGACCACGAAGAAGAGAGACCUCCAGAUGCUGUGAAAGUUAACAAUCAUACAAUGGGAUGAAAGUUAGUCAUCUCUCAAGCACAGUAAGAAGAAUGAUAAAAAUAAUAGCUAACAACUGAAGCAGAAGACAGGGAGGCCUUUGUGCUGCAUAUGCUGGGACAAAGGAAGAAGAACCACAGAGGGAACUUCAUUCUUCAGUUCCAAAUUCUUCUGUUUUUUGCUCUGUCAAAAUAAAUCUUAGUCUUUCAACCUUAUUUUUUUCCUAUAAUGGGGAAAACAAUGAAACACAAUUUUUUAAUGAAAAUAAACAUUAAAUGACAAGGUGAAUAUUACCAUUCCAGCUAGUGGCUCUUCAUCUACUUUUCCUGAGAGACGACUAUGAGGACUAUACCCCAAAUAACACUCAAGUGAUACAUAACUUUCAGCUCCAGGAGUAAAGGUACUGUCAGUCUCUUGUGUUCCUACUGAUCAGCUCAGCAUCUGGAUCAUAUGUACCACAUGUAAGAUGACCAUUUUCUAUCUUCUUAACUACAUUGCAAAAGAUGCUGGCGAUUCAUGUGAUCUUAACAGGAAUCUAACUCAGGACCUUGAGCUUGCAAGGCAAGCGUGGCGCCACUGAGCUAAAUAAAUCCCCAGCCCUACUUUGUUGAUUUUAAAGUUUGUUGAAGCUAACAUCAAUUUCUUACACAUAUGCUGAUUCCACAUAAGUUUUACUUUUCCUUCAAAUCUCUGUGUGUAUCAUUGUUAUUAGUGCCAUGUCAGUUAUGCCCAGGGAGUCGGAAAUGAUACUGUAUUUAAAAAAAAAAAUUUUUGAGACAAGAGUCUCACUAUGUAAUUCAGGCUGGUCUUGAACCGAUGGUGACUCGCUUGUCUCAGCCUCCUGGGUGCUGGUAUUAAAUUCAUGCACCACGACACCUGGCGAGAGAUAGUGUUUUUAAACAAUAAGAUAUCACUCAAGUCUCUUAGUACAACAGUGCAUUAGAAUGUGUAUACCUUAAAAUUUGAGGAUUGCUUUCUGAAAAUAAAGGCUGCUCGAAUUGCCAUUAUCUGCAUUAUAUAGUACGAGAGUUUGAGGGAUAUUUGAAUAACUAAAAUAUUAUUAAAUAAAGAAAUUACUUGUUAAAAUACUGGGUAGGUAAUAUAGUGUCUAUUUCCUUACUGUACUAAGAAGUGCUUCAAAAUGUCAUUCAAUAAUGAUGCCUUGUGAUUAGUUACAUAGCACCAUUCAAGGUAAAAAAUAGUUCACAUACAUCUUAGUAACAGAAAUGUAAUGUAAAAAUUUUAUUGGGUAGGAUAAUUGCUUGGAGGAAAAAAGAUGCAUUAUCUUCACAGAUUCAAAAUAUAACAACAGAGAAGCCAACUUCUGAUCAAGUAUCUAUAAGAUAUUUUAAAACUAUUUUAUUAAGUAAAACAUCUAAUAUACUUACUUGGAGAAAUAUUUAUGUUAUUCAGUACUUUACAUAUAUUUUUAGGAUAAAUUUUAUUUUAAAAUAAAAUUACCAGAUUGAUUAAUAUUCUUAUUCUUUGGAAUUUUAAUGCAAUGCCAGCAACUAAGCUGAGAAUACUUAAAUAUCUUACAAAAAUAAUUGGUAUUCAAUGGAUUCAUCAGUUUUUCUGAAUUCUAUGAAUUAGACAAACAGCUGUAUAUAUGUAUAUAUAUUAAUCUCUCAGUUUUAAGUUUUUAAAGUUAAAACUAUGAAAGCAUUUAGAAUAUUUUUCGUAUUUUUAAACUGAGCUAUCUAUCCAGACACAAAUCAUGUGGUGUUUCCUAAUUCAACUAUCACUUCUCCUGAGUCUGAAUAUUCUUUCAAACGAAGUUAUCACUGAAGAAAAAUGUACUUUUAAAAUUUCACCCUAAUUUUGUUAGCAGCACAUUGUUUGUAUAAUGAAAUUAAUCUAUGUGCACUCUGGGAAAAUAAAAAAAUAAAAUCACACUCCUGGAAAUCAUAGCUAACUACUGUUUGCACUUUAUUCUCUGCUUCAAGACAUUUGUAUGUCUAUAAGCAUGUAUUUGGGAAGAAUGAACAGUUGAGAGGGAGGGAGGAGAAAAAAGGGAGAGAGAUAUUUUGUUUUGAAUACUGAAGCUUUCUCCACACAUUGCUUAACUUUGCAUAUAUUUUUAAAUAAUUACUUGCAAAUUUAUGGAUAUUUCCAAUACAGUUCCAUAUCGGUGAGUAUUUAUGUUGCUCACCCAUUAGUAAUAUGUGAUUUAUUUUUCACCAUAUAUAAACAAUGAAUGGUUUAGAACCCCAUGUUAACUCUCCAAUUAUUUUCUUUGAAUGUCACACUGAGAUCACAAUUAUGAGACAAAAGGAAUACUGAUUCCUCAUUCAAUAAAUGUCAUUAAAUAUAAAUUUCAUGUUUGUCUAUCUUGUUUAAUUUGUACUGAAAUUAUGGGUGACUUUUUUCAUAGUUAAACUGCAAAUGAUGUAUAUCAUCAACUAAUAAAUAUUCUUAAGAAUACAAAUGAAAUAAAAAUACAAGAUACAUUUCCCACUGGUUAUGAACAGCCC